rnacentral:rRNA from 1 species
AUGGGGCGCACCAGGCGCGAAACCUUUACACUGCACGACAGUGCGAUAGGGGAACUCCGAGUGCGAGGGCAUACAACGCCCUCGCUUUUGUAGACCCUAAGGCGGUCUACGAACAAGUGCUGGGCAAGACCGGUGCCAGCCGCCGCGGUAAUACCGGCAGCACGAGUGAUGGCCGAUAUUAUUGGGCCUAAAGCGUCCGUAGCCUGCCAAACAGGUCUGCUGGGAAAUCCGCUAGCUUAACUAGCGGGCGUCCAGCGGAAACCAGUUGGCUUGGGACCGGAAGACCCGAGGGGUACGUCUGGGGUAGGAGUGAAAUCCUGUAAUCCUGGACGGACCGCCGGUGGCGAAAGCGCCUCGGGAGGACGGAUCCGACGGUGAGGGACGAAAGCUAGGGUCACGAACCGGAUUAGAUACCCGGGUAGUCCUAGCUGUAAACGAUGCUCGCUAGGUGUGGCGCUGGCUACGAGCCAGCGCUGCGCCGUAGGGAAGCCGUGAAGCGAGCCGCCUGGGAAGUACGUCCGCAAGGAUGAAACUUAAAGGAA